GCCAGCAUGACAUAGUGGUUUGAGAGUUGGACUAAAAUUCUGGAGAUCAGGGUUCAAUUCCCAGCUCAGCCA